CGAAACCAGGUGAUCUACCCAUGUCCAGGAUGAAGGUAAGGUAAUACUUACUGGAGGUCCGAACCCACGCACGUUGAAAAGUGCGGGGAUGAGGUGUGGGUAGCGGAGAAAUUCCAAUCGAACUUGGAGAUAGCUGGUUCUCUCCGAAAUAGCUUUAGGGCUAGCCUCGAGGUAAAGAGUCAUGGAGGUAGAGCACUGUUUGGACUAGGGGCCCUUCUCGGGUUACCGAAUUCAGAUAAACUCCGAAUGCCAUGUACUUAUACUCGGGAGUCAGACUGCGAGUGAUAAGAUCCGUAGUCGAAAGGGAAACAGCCCAGACCACCAGUUAAGGUCCCCAAAUAUAUGUUAAGUGGAAAAGGAUGUGGGGUUGCUUAGACAACCAGGAUGUUGGCUUAGAAGCAGCCACCAUUGAAAGAGUGCGUAAUAGCUCACUGGUCGAGUGACCCCGCGCCGAAAAUGUACCGGGGCUAAACAUAUUACCGAAACUGUGGAUGAACCUCAUUAGAGGUUCGUGGUAGGAGAGCGUUCUAAGGGCGGUGAAGUCAGACCGGAAGGACUGGUGGAGCGCUUAGAAGUGAGAAUGCCGGUAUGAGUAGCGAAAGAAGGGUGAGAAUCCCUUCCACCGAAUAUCUAAGGUUUCCUGAGGAAGGCUCGUCCGCUCAGGGUUAGUCGGGACCUAAGCCGAGGCCGAUAGGCGUAGGCGAUGGACAACAGGUAGAGAUUCCUGUACCAGUGCUAAUUGUUUAACCGAUGGGGUGACACAGAAGGAUAGGGAAUCGCACGAAUGGAAAUGUGCGUCCAAGCAGUGAGUGUGAGAAGUAGGCAAAUCCGCUUCUCGCGAAGCAUGAGCUGUGAUGGGGAAGGAAAUUAAGUACGGAAGUUCCUGAUUUCACGCUGUCAAGAAAAGCCUCUAGGAAGAGUAGUACUGCCCGUACCGCAAACCGACACAGGUAGAUGAGGAGAGAAUCCUAAGGUGAGCGAGAGAACUCUCGUUAAGGAACUCGGCAAAAUGACCCCGUAACUUCGGGAGAAGGGGUGCUCUAUUAGGGUGCAAGCCCGAGAGAGCCGCAGUGAAUAGGCCCAGGCGACUGUUUAGCAAAAACACAGGUCUCUGCAAAACCGUAAGGUGACGUAUAGGGGCUGACGCCUGCCCGGUGCUGGAAGGUUAAGAGGAGUGCUUAGCUUCGGCGAAGGUACGAAUUGAAGCCCCAGUAAACGGCGGCCGUAACUAUAACGGUCCUAAGGUAGCGAAAUUCCUUGUCGGGUAAGUUCCGACCCGCACGAAAGGCGCAACGAUCUGGGCACUGUCUCAACGAGAGACUCGGUGAAAUUAUAGUACCUGUGAAGAUGCAGGUUACCCGCGACAGGACGGAAAGACCCCGUGGAGCUUUACUGCAACCUGAUAUGGAAUGUUUGUACCGCUUGUACAGGAUAGGUAGGAGCCGAAGAGACGUGUGCGCUAGCAUACGAGGAGGCAAUGGUGGGAUACUACCCUG
rnacentral:rRNA from 1 species